rnacentral:rRNA from 1 species
UACGUAGGGUGCGGGCGUUAAUCGGAAUUACUGGGCGUAAAGCGUGCGCAGGCGGCCUCUUAAGUCAGAUGUGAAAUCCCCGGGCUUAACCUGGGAACUGCGUUUGAAACUGGGAGGCUAGAGUGUGGAAGAGGGGGGUGGAAUUCCAGGUGUAGCGGUGAAAUGCGUAGAUAUCUGGAGGAACACCGGUGGCGAAGGCGGCAUCCUGGACCGGCAUUGACGCUGAGGCGCGAAAGCCAGGGGAGCAAACGGG